rnacentral:rRNA from 1 species
UCCGCCAGGGUACUACGAGCGCUAGCUUAAAACCCAAAGGACUUGACGGUGUCUCAGACCCACCUAGAGGAGCCUGUUCUAGAACCGAUAAUCCCCGUUAAACCUCACCACCCCUUGCUUUUCCCGCCUAUAUACCGCCGUCGCAAGCUUACCCUAUGAAGGCACUACAGUAAGCAAAAAGAGUAUUACCCAAAACGUCAGGUCGAGGUGUAGCUUGUGAGGUGGAAAGAAAUGGGCUACAUUUUCUUUAACAGAAUACUACGGACAACACUAUGAAACUGGUGUUCAAAGGUGGAUUUAGCAGUAAAAA